GUGAUCGGCAGACAGCACACUUCCUCUCCUGAUUUAAGAUUUAGGAUUUUACUUUUUGAAAUGUUAAUGACAAGAUUUGUAAUACAUUUGUGGUCAGUUGUGUGUGUGUGUGUGUGUAUAUAUAAAACAUGUAUACAUGGUCACUUCUCUGAGUAAUGAUGAGACCGUUUCAAUGGAGGUCCUGUAGCACUUUUAAUGUGUCUAUUUAACAGGCUGUUCACCUACCUGUCCUGGCUGUUCUCCUACCUGUCCUGACCCAUCUACACACCUGCCUGUCCUGACCCAUCUACACACCCACCUGUCCUGGCUGUUCUCCUACCUGUCCUGAAUGUACAGCUACCUGUCCUGACCCAUCAACACACCUACCUGUCCUGGCUGUUCUCCUACCUGUCCUGACCCAUCAACACACCUGCCUGUCCUGACCCAUCUACACACCUACCUGUCCUGGCUGUUCUCCUACCUGUCCUGAAUGUACACCUACCUUUCCUGACCCAUCAACACACCUACCUGUCCUGGCUGUUCUCCUACCUGUCCUGACCCAUCAACACACCUGCCUGUCCUGACCCAUCUACACACCUGCCUGUCCUGACCCAUCUACACACCUGCCUGUCCUGACCCAUCUACACACCUGCCUGUCCUGACCCAUCUACACACCUGCCUGUCCCGACCCAUCUACACACCUGCCUGUCCCGACCCAUCUACACACCUGCCUGUCCCGACCCAUCUACACACCUGCCUGUCCCGACCCAUCUACACACCUGCCUGUCCCGACCCAUCUACACACCUGCCUGUCCCGACCCAUCUGCACACCUACCUGUCCCGACCCAUCUGCACACCUACCUGUCCCGACCCAUCUGCACACCUACCUGUCCCGACCCAUCUGCACACCUACCUGUCCCGACCCAUCUACACACCUACCUGUCCCGGCCCAUCUACACACCUACCUGUCCCGGCCCAUCUACACUCAACAUCCCAUAAUGACAAAGUGAAAACAUGUUUUUCGAUGCCAUUUUAUUGUUUGUAUUACAGAAAUACAGUAACGUCUCAUUUACAUAAGUUCUCACACCCCCCAGAGUCGGUACUUUGUAGAAGCAGCUUUACGGCGAUGAUCCCAGCUGUGAGGCAUUCUGGGUUUAUUGUCCUGAUGAAAGGUGAACUCCUCUCCCAGUGUCUGGUGGAAAGCUGAAACCGAACCAGGUUUUCCUCAGGAUUCUUCCUGUGUUUUGCUCCAGUCUGUUUAUUUUUUUAUCCUGAAAAACUCACCCAGUCCUUAACAAUUACAAGUAUACCCAUAACAUGAUGCAGCCACCACUAUGCUUGAAAAUAUGGAGAGUGGUACUCAGUAAUGUGUUGUAUUGGAUUUCCCUAAAUGUAAAUCUUUGUAUUCAGGACAAAAAAUAUAUUUUUUGCCACAUUUUUUUGAAGUAUUACUUUAGUGCCUUGUUGCAAACAAGAUGCAUGUUUUGGAAUAUUUGUUAUUCUGUACAGGCUUCCUUCUUUUCAUUCUGUCAUUUAGGUUAGUAUUGUAGAGUAACUACAAUGUUGAUCCAUCCUCAGUUUUCUCCUAUCACAGCCAUUAAACUCUGUACCUGUUUUUAAAAGUCACCAUUGGCCUGGUGAAAUCACUGAGUGGUUUCCUUCCUCACUGGCAACUGAGUUAAGAAGGACGCCUGUAUCUCUGUAGUGACUGGUUGUAUUGAUGCACCAUCCAAAGUGUAAUUAAUAAAAGGGAUAUUCAA